rnacentral:rRNA from 1 species
UACGUAGGGGGCAAGCGUUGUCCGGAAUCAUUGGGCGUAAAGCGCGUGUAGGCGGUUCGGUAAGUCGGCUGUGAAAGUCCAGGGCUCAACCCUGGGAUGCCGGUCGAUACUGCCGGACUAGAGUUCGGAAGAGGCGAGUGGAAUUCCCGGUGUAGCGGUGAAAUGCGCAGAUAUCGGGAGGAACACCAAUGGCGAAGGCAGCUCGCUGGGACGUUACUGACACUGAGGAGCGAAAGCGUGGGGAGCGAACAGG